UAGAGUCACCAACUGUUCAUGUUUGCCUGGGACUGAGGAAUUUCCCAGGAUGCAGGACUUUCAGUCUUAGGCAAACCUGGGUGGUUGGUAACUCAGAUUCCAA
rnacentral:pre_miRNA from 1 species